UGGGGAAUAUUGGGCAAUGGGGGGAACCCUGACCCAGCAACGCCGCGUGAGGGAAGAAGGUUUUCGGAUUGUAAACCUCUGUUCUUGGAGAAGAGUGGAAGACGGUAUCCAAGGAGGAAGCCCCGGCUAACUACGUGCCAGCAGCCGCGGUAAUACGUAGGGGGCGAGCGUUGUCCGGAAUGAUUGGGCGUAAAGGGCGCGCAGGCGGCCAUUCAAGUCAGUAGUGGAAGUCCAUUUUUCAAGGGUGGAAGUGCUAUUGAAACUGUAUGGCUUGAGUGCGGGAGAGGUUAUCGGAAUUCCCGGUGUAGCGGUGAAAUGCGUAGAGAUCGGGAGGAACACCAGUGGCGAAGGCGGGUAACUGGACCGCAACUGACGCUGAGGCGCGAAAGUGUGGGGAGCAAACAG
rnacentral:rRNA from 1 species